ensembl:lncRNA
UGAAAGUGUUCUGUAGUUAGAUAGUGGUGAUGGUCGCACCACACUGUGAAUGUACUAAAAGCCCCUGGAUUGUACACUUUAAAAUGGUUAAAAUGGUGAAUUUGUGUUGUGUGAAUUUUGCUUCAAUUUUUUUUUAAACUCCAUUAAUCUGUUUUUUUAAAUUUCUGCAGGGGCAGCAUCUGGUCAGGGCUCCUUUGUCAGAACAAUGUGGUUGAGGUUAGGAAAGUAAACUAAAUACCUGCUCACAGCGGGGAGGGGAAAUGUUCUGAAUCGACUCAGAAACACAGUGGAUCCAGUGGGAGUUCAACACAGAUGAGUCCCUUCCCUGUUGGCUGGCGUCUGCAUCUGGGAGCCCCUGACCACUGCAGCAGCAAGGAGCACCCACGCCUCACUGGCCCACAGCCAGGGUCACAGCCACUGACAACGCCAGUCUGGGACAACCGUCUUCCAGAGAUGGACAAGAACCCACUGCGUGGUGUGUCUGCCCUGCCCAGCGUCUCCUCCAGCGGUGCCUGGAAGGUGGACAGCCCCACGUGGGAAUGCCCCAGCUUAUUAGUUACCUACACUGGGUAACAAACACAAGCCUAGCAGCCUUGAGCAACACUGAUUUAUUAUCACACACUCCUGCAGCUCUGCAGUCCUAAGGGCACGGCUGGGCUCUCACAGGCUAAGUGAGGUGUCGGCCACACCGUGCUUUAUCUGGAGGCUCUGGGCAAGGCCCACUUCCAGGCUCAUUCAGGCUGUUGGCAGAAUUCAGUUCCCAGUGGCUGUAGGACUGAGGUCCCCAUUUCCCUGUUGGCCAUCAGCUAAGGACUGUCCUUAGCUCUGGAGGGCGUUCUCAGUCCUUACUCAUGACCACUCCACCCCAAGGUCAGGGAUGUAGAGCCUGCCCGUCGCCUGUGAGUCUCGUGACGGCGCCCCAGCUUGAGACUGUUCUCUGUGUGAAAGGGCCCACGUGGUGAGGUUAGGCCUGCCUGGAAGGCCUCCAGAUUACAAUCCAGCGCUGGUGACCUGGUCCCAUCCGCGUGUGUGAACCCUCCUGCCAUCCACUGUGCCAUCAAUCGCAGGGCUACUCAAGGCCUUGGGUUUUAGGUGGGAAAUCUUGGGGGGCAUCUUUGAAUUCUGCCUCCCACAGCCUGUGGUAAGAAAUAGUGUAAGCUCAAAAGUCAAGUUCUCAUUUCCAGCACCCCCAACCUCCGUUUACACACAAUUUCUGGGCCUGGUGAUUACGCUAAUAAUAAUAAUAACUAUGACAGCCAGUGCUUGGUGCCAGGCCCUCUGCUCAGCACCCAACAAAGUAGCCUCAUUCAAGACUCACAACCCUCUAUAAAGCCGACUCUGUCACUGAUCCCAUUCUGCAGAGGAGAAAACGGAGGCUCAGAGAGGUUAGGGAAUGUACCCCAAGUGACACAGGCAACAUGCAUGCCAGCUGCAAAGAGGUGGGGCCAGAGCUGGCGGCUGUGCUUCCACCUCAGGAACGGAGCAGUCGUGGCUAGUUUCCCCUCUAAGUGGGCACUGAGCGCCUGGGUAGAGUUCCAGACUCCUGACCCCACGCUGUGACCCACCAUCACCCCCUCUGUGCUCAGCUCAGCUCCACCUUAGUGCUCCGUCCUGUCCUCCUCCUGUCAAGGUGUCUGAAGCCCACUGGCCUAUAAUUAAAUAUCACAGGGCUUUAAAUUGUUUAUCAUUUGCUGUUGACUCAUUCCGCCAAGGAUUUGAUAGAGCACACCAGUACACAAAAAUGGUGGAAAUGUGAAUAAAUGUUCUCAACUCAAGACCGUGGGAGAGCCAGGAUAGCAUGGAAACUGAAGGCAGGUCAGCCGUCCGUGCUCCAAUGUCCAACCCAGUUCCUAAAGCUGAACGUAAA